rnacentral:lncRNA from 1 species
GACUUGGCUAAUGGAUGGACUUGGAGGGGACAUUGCCGGAUCAGUCCCCUUGGCCAUCUGGAUCCUCCUGGGUUUGGAGAGGCCAAUGCUUGUGGCUCGUACCAACAUCAAUUUGCAGUCUCCAGGAUGCAACUUCACCCUAUGCUGCGUUCAUAAAUUAAUCUCCUGGGAUUAGAUUC